rnacentral:tRNA from 10 species
CGGGGCGUAGCGCAGUCUGGUAGCGCACUACACUGGGGGUGUAGUGGUCGUCGGUUCAAAUCCGGCCGCCCCGACCA